GAAACGCCCGCCGCUGGCGGCUUCCCAAUCUCAGGGUCCUCCGCAGCGUCCACGAAACACCUAUAUGAUCAUCACGCAGGACCACAGAGUGGAUUCCCUCAUACAGCACACCAGUGGCAUAGGGUGAGAGAUCGCAGCCCAGAUACCAGCUUUGACACAAAACAGGACUUUGGACGCUCCCUCACUACUAUAAUAGACUGUAAGCCUAGAGUCAUGAAUGCCUCUUCAUUUUAACUACCUAGGCCUGGUCAUUUACUUUUACGUUUUAUUGGCU